rnacentral:rRNA from 1 species
UACGUAGGGUGCGAGCGUUGCCCGGAUUUAUUGGGCGUAAAGGGCGCGUAGGCGGCCACGCACGUCCGUUGUGAAAUCGCCCGGCUCAACUAGGCGGGGUCAGCGGAUACGGUGUGGCUCGAGCAAGCUAGGGGGCAAUGGAAUUCCCGGUGUAGUGGUGGAAUGCGUAGAUAUCGGGAGGAACACCAGUGGCGAAGGCGGUUGCCUGGAGCUUUGCUGACGCUGAGGUGCGAAAGCGUGGGGAGCGAUCCGG